GAGUUUGAUCAUGGCUCAGAUUGAACGCUGGCGGCAUGCCUUACACAUGCAAGUCGAACGGCAGCAUGAUCUAGCUUGCUAGAUUGAUGGCGAGUGGCGAACGGGUGAGUAAUACAUCGGAACGUGCCCUGUAGUGGGGGAUAACUAGUCGAAAGAUUAGCUAAUACCGCAUACGACCUGAGGGUGAAAGUGGGGGACCGCGAGGCCUCAUGCUAUAGGAGCGGCCGAUGUCUGAUUAGCUAGUUGGUGGGGUAAAGGCCCACCAAGGCGACGAUCAGUAGCUGGUCUGAGAGGACGAUCAGCCACACUGGGACUGAGACACGGCCCAGACUCCUACGGGAGGCAGCAGUGGGGAAUUUUGGACAAUGGGCGAGAGCCUGAUCCAGCAAUGCCGCGUGUGUGAAGAAGGCCU
rnacentral:rRNA from 1 species